rnacentral:rRNA from 1 species
UGCUGGAGGUAUCAGAAGUGCGAAUGCUGACAUAAGUAACGAUAAUGCGGGUGAAAAACCCGCACGCCGGAAGACCAAGGGUUCCUGUCCAACGUUAAUCGGGGCAGGGUGAGUCGACCCCUAAGGCGAGGCCGAAAGGCGUAGUCGAUGGGAAACAGGUUAAUAUUCCUGUACUUGGUGUUACUGCGAAGGGGGGACGGAGAAGGCUAUGUUAGCCGGGCGACGGUUGUCCCGGUUUAAGCAUGUAGGCGGAGGUUCCAGGUAAAUCCGGUACCUUUUUAACGCUGAGGUGUGAUGACGAGGCACUACGGUGCUGAAGUAACAAAUGCCCUGCUUCCAGGAAAAGCCUCUAAGCAUCAGGUAACACGAAAUCGUACCCCAAACCGACACAGGUGGUCAGGUAGAGAAUACCAAGGCGCUUGAGAGAACUCGGGUGAAGGAACUAGGCAAAAUGGUGCCGUAACUUCGGGAGAAGGCACGCUGAUAUGUAGGUGAAGUGAUUUACUCAUGGAGCUGAAAUCAGUCGAAGAUACCAGCUGGCUGCAACUGUUUAUUAAAAACACAGCACUGUGCAAACACGAAAGU